rnacentral:rRNA from 1 species
GAUAAACGCUGGCGGCGUGCCUAACACAUGCAAGUCGAACGCAGUGGCGAGCGGGUGUGUAACACGUGAGUCAUCUCCCUUACACAAGGGGAUAGCCUUUGGAAACGAAGAAUAAUACCAUAUCGUGUGAGAGUGAAUUGCGUCUGAUUAGCUAGUUGGUGAGAUAAAAGCCCACCAAGGCGACGAGCAGUAGCCGGCUUGGGAGAGUGUACGGCCACAUUGGGACUGGGACACGGCCCAAACUCUACGGGAGGCAGCAGUGGGGAAUGAUGCACGAUGGGGGAAACACUAAUGCAGCGACGCCGCGUGAUUUAGAAGGCAGUCGGGUUGUAAAAAUCUUUUUUAUGGGAUGCAGUACCAUAAGAAUAAGGUCCGGCUAAAUACGUGCCAGCAGCCGCGGUAAUAC